rnacentral:rRNA from 1 species
UACGAAGGGGCUAGCGUUGCUCGGAAUCACUGGGCGUAAAGGGUGCGUAGGCGGGUCUUUAAGUCAGGGUGAAAUCCUGGAGCUCAACUCCAGAACUGCCUUUGAUACUGAAGAUCUUGAGUUCGGGAGAGGUGAGUGGAACUGCGAAGUGUAGAGGUGAAAUUCGUAGAUAUCGUAAGGAAGACCAGUGGCGAAGGCGGGUCUCUGGA